UACGUAGGGGGCAAGCGUUGUCCGGAAUCAUUGGGCGUAAAGCGCGUGUAGGCGGCCAGAAAAGUCCGCUGUGAAAACUCGAGGCUCAACUUCGAGCUGUCGGUGGAAACUUUCUGGCUAGAGUCCGGAAGAGGAGAAUGGAAUUCCUGGUGUAGCGGUGAAAUGACGCAGAUAUCGGGAGGAGCACCAGUAGCGAAGGCGGCUCGCUGGGCCAUUCCUGACGCUGAGACGCGAAAGCUAGGGGAGCGAACAGG
rnacentral:rRNA from 1 species